UUCCUGUCCCUGGUUUUCCGCGAAUGCUGCCCCCUUACCCUGGCUUCAUUUUUCAAGAUUCAAGUCCAGCGUCAUUUCCUGGAAAAGACUCCUCUCUGCAGCUGCUGAGUCACGGUGGGGCCGAGUGGAGGGAGAUGCUGUAUUUGAAACUGGAGGGGAAAUUCUCCGGAGCUCCCUGGAGGGGGUGAGGUGAAGGGCAGCUCGAGCAGGGCCUGCUGACGGUGCAGAGAAUGAUCGAGAAGCCGCCCUCCUGAGCGCGGAGGCCUGGAGCUUCCUUCUGCGUGGCAGGAGGGCGCUGGCCUGUGGUCCCUCUCAGUGGGGGCGGGAGGAACUGAUCUCUCAGCAUGAAAUGGUCGCCUGGCCUCUGGGAAGGCUCCCAGCAGUCGACGCCCAGGCCAGGCCUGGCCGGCUGCUCCUCCAGCUGCUGCUCCCAGCCGGAGCCAUUUUCCGACCCCAAAGACUUGUCAGCAGGACUAGAAAUGCUUGGACCCUCAAAUGUAACCCCGAAUAUCAGCAGCAGACCCCCCCACCCCUGGGGGAAAAGUCUCCAAUCAGAGAUCCUCUGAGGCGAGCCAAGAGCGGUUUUGGAGGGAGCAGCGCAUAUUUUGAGGGAAGAAGCCCCAUGAGAGCCUCCCUGCAAGAAGCCAGAACAUUAUCACCAACCCCUCUCCUCUGUCCCCUCAAAGGCCUCUCCUGACCACAGUCCUCAACUGUGUACUUCUGAGACAGACUGGGACCUGCGAAGAAAAGGCCAAAACCCAACUGCCACUCUUGAGGUGCAGGAGCAAAAGCAGGGGACUGAGCUUGCACCACAGCACCAUCAAGCGGAUGAGCAGACCACCUAAGCCAGCCCUGAAGCCCGAACCACCGAUGGGCCCCUAUGCUCACCCCAUUUAAGAGACUGGCCCAAAUCAACCCCCCACCCCCUGCCACCCC
ensembl:lncRNA